UGCGUAGACGGCUUCGUAAGUCGGAUGUGAAAUCCCCGGGCUCAACCUGGGAAUUGCAUUCGAGACUGCGAGGCUAGGGUGCGGAAGAGGGAAGCGGAAUUUCCGGUGUAGCGGUGAAAUGCGUAGAUAUCGGAAGGAACAUCAGUGGCGAAAGCGGCUUCCUGGUCCAGCACCGACGUUCAGGCACGAAAGCGUGGGGAGCAAACAGGAUUAGAUACCCUGGUAGUCCACGCCAUAAACGAUGAGAACUAGACGUUGAGAGGGUAAGCCUCCCAGUGUCGCAGCUAACGCGCUAAGUUCUCCGCCUGGGGAGUACGGCCGCAAGGUUGAA
rnacentral:rRNA from 1 species